CCUACGGGUGGCUGCAGUGGGGAAUUUUGGACAAUGGGGGCAACCCUGAUCCAGCCAUGCCGCGUGCGGGAAGAAGGCCUUCGGGUUGUAAACCGCUUUCGGCCGGAACGAAAUCGCCGGGGAGAACAUCCCCGGUGGAUGACGGUACCGGAAGAAGAAGCACCGGCUAACUACGUGCCAGCAGCCGCGGUAAUACGUAGGGUGCGAGCUUUAAUCGGAGCGUGCGGGGGUGAAGCGCGCGGAGGGAGGUGAAAGCCCCGGGCUUAACCUGGGAACUGCGUUUGUGACUGGCGGGCUGGAGUGCGGAAGAGGGAGGUGGAAUUCCACGUGUAGCAGUGAAAUGCGUAGAGAUGUGGAGGAACACCGAUGGCGAAGGCAGCCUCCUGGUCUAGCACUGACGCUCAUGCACGAAAGCGUGGGGAGCAAACAGGAUUAGAUACCCUAGUAGUC
rnacentral:rRNA from 1 species